AAAAGUAGCAAUUUUUUUUGGUGGGGAGGGGGGUGUUUGUGUGUAUGUGUGUGUUGGGAGGGUGCACAAGGGAGGUGUGGUGGGUAGGGAGAAAAGGGGUGGGGGGAGAGGAAAAGUUACGACUCUUGAACGAGGGAAGGAGGCGUGGGUCUAAUGUGGUUCCCUUGCUCUGCUAAGGCUUCGUGGUGUGGGUCGCCUCGAUAAACGUCUCGGCCGCUCCGAAGAGCUCCUCAGUGACAGGAGAUAAGAGUGAGAAGGAUUCCAGCCACUGCUUCAUGUGCAUAAGACAGACGCACACUCCAGUUACUUUGCACCACAGGUUCUUGUCUCUCCCUCUCUGCCCACUUACAGCACUUCAAUCAAUGCAGCCAAGACAUCACAUACAGUUGAGUGAGAGAGCUGUGAACUAUUUCUGCACCAUCAGUAUUAUUAUUUUUGUGAAGGGGGCGGAGGCGGUGGGGAGAAAAACUCUCUGUUGGGCUCCGGGGAAAUCCACCGUGCAAGACAGUCUCAACGGAUCCACAGAGCCAUCGAGCAGUACUUAGGGAUAAUCUCGUCCUCGUCUAUAGACACCAGUGCAUUGCAAUGUUCUCAAUUAUCUUCCUCGCUCAGGAAGUAUUAACACAGUGCAACAACAUUUUAAAAGAUCUCUGCGAUCCAAAUUUAAUUGGCUUUCUGUCUGCGAGAUGCACUGGUUAACCCGUCGCAAUAAUUUCCACCCCUGGCGAAAAAUUGUCUGCAAUUCCUGGAUGAGGAUUCAGCCGUUUGGACAGCCAUUUGGGGUUGGUCGGGAGGAGGGGGUGUUGUUACGCUGGCUGCUUCGCCCGACUCCACGCGACAAGUCUGGGGUUGGGCUGCCUUCCAGCGACCGCUGUUCACCGCUGUCGAGUCGCCGGGUCCCCCUCGCACCGUCUCCCGGAGUCGGACGCCUCGUCUGUCAGCGGCACCAUGAGAAAAUGGGCAACGGAAGACGCUGAGCCCGAACUUCAGAGAAGCGGUUUCGCGUCCAACCCGCCGACCCCCCGCACACGCAGAAUUACCGCUCCGCAAUCGCAAGUUGUGAUCUGGAAUGUGCUGCCUGAAAGGGGAAUGGAAGCAAAUUCAAUAGGAACUUCCAAAAAUUUUUCCAAUGCCACUUUGAAAGGGAACAUUUAGAGGGUUGCAGGUGAAGAGCAGGUUACGUCUGUAAUGGAGAUGAGUAUUGCACCCAGUUUUGGAUGUUUUAACAAUUCCAGAAGCCCACUUGGGGUAAGCCGAAGACAGGCCACACUAUCCUUGCUCUCUGGCUUCCUGCUUGUGCAUUUUAUUUUCUUGCGGACUAUUUGAGGGUGGGCCUUGAAUACCGCAUCCAGCUCCAAUCACCAGCACAUGAUGGCAGAUUAGCAACUACUGAAAGUCGCUCUUCAGAGAACUCUGAGGCAGAAGCUCUUCUAACUUGGAUCAUUCACACAGAGAGUUCCAAAUCCUUCCAACAUUGAGAUUGCCCACCCAGCCCAGAUAUCUGGACUUUUUGGCAUCAACAUACCGGACGUCAGCUACAUACCAGAAGCAAUGUGUCCCUACAACCUCUGUCUGACAUUGACUUUAAUGGGUUUGAGUGUCUUAACCAACACUGCUUGCUCCACCUCUGGUCUCUAUGAAUAGCUGGUGCCUUGUGUCAAAUCCUAGUUCCUUAUGCUGUCUGCCACUUAAUGCCACAGCUUGCAUUUGCCUCCAAGAUCUUGGGGAACCAGACAAGGGCAGGAGCGUCUUAUUGGCAGUAUUGUCAAUUUGACAUGUAGUGCCCAAUUGCCAUAUAACUGAGUUCUGUAUGUUGGAGAAGAACGUCCAUGUAGUGAAGUCAGUAUGGUGCGAGCACCCGAUAACCCACAGAAGAUGAGGACACUUUGAAAGAAGUUGGACAAACUUGGGUUGCUUUCUCUGGAGCAUCAGAGACUGAGAGGAGAGCUGAUAGAAAUUUAUAAAAUUGUGAGAGGCAUAGAUAGGGUAGACAGAAUCUUUUUCCCAGGGUAGAAUAGAGGACAUGUAUUUAGGGUGAGAGCAGGAAAGUUUAAAGGGGAGAUGCUGGGCAAGGUUUUUACACGAAGCGUGGUGGGUGCCUGGAAUGGGCUUGGAUACGAUAGAGAAGCAGAUACGAUAGAGGAAUUUAAGAGGCUUUUAGAGGGACACAUGAAUAUACAGGAAAUUGAGGGAUAUGGAUCAUGUACAGGCAGAAUGGAUUUAGUUUAAUUUGGUAUCAUGUUCAGCGGAGACAUUGUGGGCCGAAGGGCCUUUUCCUGUUUUGUACUUUUCUAUGUUCGAUGUUCUUUGACCACCCAGAAGGAACGGAGGUAGUUCUUGAAUCAAUAGUUGGGGACAAGGACAUCAGCUGCCAGAAUAUCAAGCGAUGCCAUUUUGUCAUUGGCUUGAUCUUGAGCUGUCAAAGCGCUCUUGGAUUAAGAAUCCCAAGUGCAGGAAAUUUGCCCUGAAGUUACUUCAAAACUCCACCAGUGCUUGAGGGCUUCUCCUGCCUCAUUACAACUCACUCCAUUGAGGUUAUGUGAGGGGUUUGUAGGACAUGUACUGGAAAAAGUAAACUGGUGUGUGAGAUUCAUCAGAGACACCUAGCUCCUGAGGGAUGAUAUGUGGCCUGGAAUCUAUUUACCAGGUUGUCGCUUCCCUUUAUUCAUGAAGAAACAGUGGGAAAAAUUGUAACUUGGUUAACUCAGCCAGUGAGGAUGAAGCUGUAAUGAAAUGUUAAUUUAUGAAUAGAAAGCCUUCCAAAAAUAGGGGCAGUGGGUUUACUUUGCAUAAAGGGCCUGUAGCAGUUCAGGAACAACACACCACGGGGGCAGGGUCUAUAUGGCAAUUGGUGGAGGAUUAAACACCUACACAAAUUAUAAACUCUCUGUUUGGAACCCUAUCAAGGCUGCUUUAAAUCUGUUGAUCCAUGCAUUAUUUUAAUUAUGUCUGCUUGUGGAAAAGAAAGGAGAAAAAAAAUUAAUGAAUCCUCCAACGGGAAGUACAACAGAGUACGUUUUCCUGAGAUUUGAUGAUAUACAGCAACAGCUCAAUUUGAGCCUCCGUUUUGCUGAUAUAGUGGGAAGAUAAAUCAGCUGUGUUAUUGCAUUGCAAGUGUUCAUGCAGUUUUGGUAAAGUGGAUUUAUGCUGGCAUAAUGUGAAUAAAAGAGUGAAGUACAUCACAGUGAAAUUUGACAAAAAGUGCCUGUGUGAAUCCCUAUUGUACUAAAUUGGCUUCAUUUAUUACUGAUUUCAUACGCAUCUGUAGAAAAAUAACCACAGAUGCAAAAUAACUGCAAAAUAUCCACACCCAAAUAUAAAUGUUGUAAAAUAUUCACACAUGAAAUAAUCUGAAGAAAAAUAUCCACAAACAAAAUACCUGUAGGAAAUUAUUCACACACAAAACAUCUGUUGGGAACUCACUACAUACUUCUAUAGGAAAAUAUCAAUGUACACGCAUCUGUAGGAAAGUUUAUACAUAAAUACAUACACAUAUCUGUAAAGAAAAUAUUCAUUCACAAGAUCAUCUGUAGGAAGUUCAUCACACACAAACAAAACAUCCAGGACAAUAUCCGUAGAAUAUCUGUAGAAAUACACCGUCUCACAGAGCAUCUGCAGGAAAAUAUCUACACCACAAAGCAUCUGUAGGAGAAUAUUUGCACCAUUCAAUAAAUCUGUUGGAAAAUACCCCACACAAAAUAUCUUUUGGAAAAUAUCCAUGCUUCCAGAUGUGAAACAUCGCCAUGAAUGAGCCUUCAGAAAAAUAUUCACACUUAAAAAGCAUGUCGGAAA